rnacentral:rRNA from 1 species
GACGAACGCUGGCGGCGUGCUUAACACAUGCAAGUCGAACGGAAAGGCCCUGCUUUUGUGGGGUCCUCUAGUGGCGAACGGGUGAGUAACACGUGAGUAACCUGUCCCUGACUGUGGUAUAACUUCAGGAAACUUGGGCUCAUACCGGAUAGGAGCUCCUGCUUCAUGGUGGGGGUUGGAAAGUUUCGGCGGUUGGGGAUGGACUCGCGUCCUAUCAGCUUGUUGGUUGGGUAGUGGCUUACCAAGGCUUUGACGGGUAGCCGAGCUGCGCGGAUAACCGGACAAAGUGGAACUGAAAUGAGGCACAGCCGACAAUGGUACGGAGCAGUGGAGAAUAUAGCAUAAUGGAAGGAAGGAUGAUGCAGCAACGCAGCGUGCGGGAUGACAGCAUUGGGGUUGUGAACCACUUUCGCCUGAGACGAAACGUGAGUGACGGUAAUGGGUAAAGAAGCACCGGCUAACUACGUG